GGGCCCGUAGCUCAGCCAGGCAGAGCGGCGGGCUCCAGACCCGUAGGUCGGGGGUUCGAAUCCCUCCGGGCCCACCA
rnacentral:tRNA from 1 species